rnacentral:rRNA from 1 species
AGCGAACGCUGGCGGCAGGCUUAACACAUGCAAGUCGAGCGCCCCGCAAGGGGAGCGGCAGACGGGUGAGUAACACGUGGGAACGUGCCUUUUGGUUCGGAACAACCCAGGGAAACUUGGGCUAAUACCGGAUAGGCCCUUACGGGGAAAGAUUAAUCGCCAAAAGGUCGGCCCGCGUCUGAUUAGCUAGUUGGUGGGGUAAUGGCCCACCAAGGCUACGAUCAGUAGCUGGUCUGAGAGGAUGAUCAGCCAAAUUGGGACUGAGACACGGCCCAAACUCCUACGGGAGGCAGCAGUGGGGAAUAUUGGACAAUGGGGGCAACCCUGAUCCAGCCAUGCCGCGUGAGUGAUGAAGGCCUUAGGGUUGUAAAGCUCUUUUAGCAGGGAAGAUAAUGACGGUACCUGCAGAGAAAGCCCCGGCUAACUUCGUGCCAGCCGCCGCCGUAA